CAUGUUUACAAUCCUGUAACUAAAAUAUGAACAUUUCAGGAUCAGAUGAGCAUCAAGAUGUCACAUACGCUCUUAUUGAACUUAAAAACUUUGAAAAGAAGCGGAAGCAUCAUAAACCAGAGCAGAGUGCUGUUUACUCUGAGGUGAAGACGGGAGCUGCAGAGGACAGUCUGAUGUAUGCUGAGGUCAAACGCCCCAAACAAGAAAAAGCCAAGAUAAAAGCAGGAAAAUCAAGUCCUGCAGCUGAUGCAGCAGUUUAUUCUGAAAUCACAUUAGGAAGCUUUCCUGGUCAGUGAAGAGAGCUGCAGCAGCAAAGCUAUGGGCUCAAAAUGUGGUCAUAAAUAUUUUGUACUUGUAAAUCAGUUUUAAGAUAAGAUAAGAUAAGAUAAACCUUUAUUAGUCCCACACGUGGGAAAUUUGUUUUGUCACAGCAGGAAGUGGACAGUGCAAAAGUUAUGAAGCAAAAAUUAGAAUAAAAUAAAAUAAGAAUAAAUACCGUACACAACUGUACAGAAUAGAAUAAAA
ensembl:lncRNA